AACGAACGCUGGCGGCAUGCCUUACACAUGCAAGUCGAACGGUAACGCGGGGCAACCUGGCGACGAGUGGCGAACGGGUGAGUAAAGCAUCGGAACGUGCCCAGUAGUGGGGGAUAGCCCGGCGAAAGCCGGAUUAAUACCGCAUACGACCUACGGGUGAAAGGGGGGGAUCGCAAGACCUCUCGCUAUUGGAGCGGCCGAUGUCAGAUUAGGUAGUUGGUGGGGUAAAGGCCUACCAAGCCGACGAUCUGUAGCUGGUCUGAGAGGACGACCAGCCACACUGGGACUGAGACACGGCCCAGACUCCUACGGGAGGCAGCAGUGGGGAAUUUUGGACAAUGGGCGCAAGCCUGAUCCAGCCAUGCCGCGUGCGGGAAGAAGGCCUUCGGUGUAACGC
rnacentral:rRNA from 1 species